rnacentral:rRNA from 1 species
CUGUUGUUGGAGAAGAAUGGUCGGCAGAGUAACUGUUGUCGGCGUGACGGUAUCCAACCAGAAAGCCACGGCUAACUACGUGCCAGCAGCCGCGGUAAUACGUAGGUGGCAAGCGUUAUCCGGAUUUAUUGGGCGUAAAGCGAGCGCAGGCGGUUUUUUAAGUCUGAUGUGAAAGCCCUCGGCUUAACCGAGGAAGCGCAUCGGAAACUGGGAAACUUGAGUGCAGAAGAGGACAGUGGAACUCCAUGUGUAGCGGUGAAAUGCGUAGAUAUAUGGAAGAACACCAGUGGCGAAGGCGGCUGUCUGGUCUGUAACUGACGCUGAGGCUCGAAAGCAUGGGUAGCGAACAGGAUU